rnacentral:rRNA from 1 species
CGUAAACAAAGGGAAGCGAAGUGGUGACAUGGAGCAAAUCCCAAAAAUAACGUCCCAGUUCGGAUUGUAGUCUGCAACCCGACUACAUGAAGCCGGAAUCGCUAGUAAUCGCGGAUCAGAAUGCCGCGGUGAAUACGUUCCCGGGUCUUGUACACACCGCCCAUCACACCAUGGGAGCCGGAAAUGCCCGAAGUCAGUGACCCAACCGCAAGGAGGGAGCUGCCGAAGGUGGAGCUGGUAACUGGGGUGAAGUCGUAACAAGGUACC